rnacentral:rRNA from 1 species
UGGGGAAUUUUGGACAAUGGGCGAAAGCCUGAUCCAGCCAUACCGCGUGCGGGAAGAAGGCCUUCGGGUUGUAAACCGCUUUUGUCAGGGAAGAAAUCUUCUGGGCUAAUACCUCGGGAGGAUGACGGUACCUGAAGAAUAAGCACCGGCUAACUACGUGCCAGCAGCCGCGGUAAUACGUAGGAUCCGAGCGUUAUCCGGAGUGACUGGGCGUAAAGAGUUGCGUAGGCGGUUCGUAAAGCGAAUAGUGAAAGAUGAUGGCUCAACCAUCAGGACAUUAUUCGAACUCACGGACUUGAGAAUGGUAGAGGUAGCUGGAAUUUCGUGUGUAGGGGUAAUAUCCGUAGAUAUACGAAGGAACACCAAUGGCGUAGGCAGGCUACUGGACCAUUUCUGACGC